UCUUACGGCCAUAUCACGUUGAAAGCACCGGUUCUCGUCUGAUCACCGAAGUUAAGCAACAUCGAGCCUAGUUAGUACUUAGAUGGGUGACCGCUUGGGAAACCUAGGUGCUGUAAGCA
rnacentral:rRNA from 1 species